ACCGUGUUAGCCAGGAUGGUCUCGAUCUCCUGACCUCGUGAUCCGCCCGUCUCGGCCUCCCAAAGUGCUGGGAUUACAGGCUUGAGCCACUGCGCCCGGCCAACUCUUCUGUAAUAACUAAGCAUUUCAUCUUGCUCAGCACACUCUUUUGGCACACGAGAGCCCUGAGACCCCAAAAGAGGAAAUGAGUUUCUGAAGCCGUAUAGCCAUGUGGACCCAACCGGGGACUCCUGAGCGGCAAAUACAAGACUUGGGUUAGGUGUCAGGAUAGCUGAGUGUUCACAUACAGCGUCCUCACCAUGUGCUGCGUCAGUGCUUCACAAAAGGAGCUUCCAGAGCAGCAGCGGCCGCAUCGCCUGGGAACUGGAUAGGGCGGCAGGUUCUCGGCCCCCAUUCCACACUUCUGACUCAGAACCCCUGUGGAUGGGGCUCCUUCCGAUGUUUGAACAAGCCCUCCAGGUGGUGCCAGGCGCACUGUGUUGACUCCCUGCUAGCAUGUAGUUCAGAAGACAAACUAAUGAAUCUGUCAUGGAACGAAGGAAGAAUGACUAGCCUUUGGCCUAAAGAACUGUUCAUUCGGGAAUAUUGCAAACAGCUAAGUACCCCUCACCAGGAGCUGGCCCAUUAUAGCAACUCUGAGACCUCUCUACUGCAGGCUCUUAAAAUGGGGUGGAUGGACGGAAGAAUGCGAAGUAAGAAAGAAGGAGCUCAAAAACUAGUCCAAGAAGAGAACCUAAGAGACCUCCCCACUCAGUUCAGAAGCUGCUGGCCACCAGCUGGAGAACCAGCUGCGAACACCUUCUACCCUUGCCCAAGGACCAUCUGUGUGGCACCUACCUUCUUCAGAGAGGUUGUUCUCUUUGGUCUCCUUGUCCAUCUGGCAGCACCAGCCUUCUAGUCGCUCCGUUUCUGCCUGCAGCAGCUUUAGGAACCAGUAGCCGUCUCGGCGGCAGGCCCCUGGCUGUGCUGGCUCUGCUGGGGAGCUGGAGGAGGUCUCAAGCCAGGGGUCGGGUGGGGGCAGCGAGGACGCCUCUAGGGCAGGGUCGCUGUUGUCUCCAUAGGAGAGGUUGCGCUUGAUCUGGGCAAUCUUGGGGGCCUGCCGGGGACCGGCAUC